rnacentral:rRNA from 1 species
CCUACGGGGGGCUGCAGUGGGGAAUAUUGGACAAUGGGGGCAACCCUGAUCCAGCCAUGCCGCGUGAGUGAUGACGGCCUUAGGGUUGUAAAGCUCUUUUCUCCGGGACGAUAAUGACGGUACCGGAGGAAUAAGCCCCGGCUAACUUCGUGCCAGCAGCCGCGGUAAUACGAAGGGGGCUAGCGUUGCUCGGAAUCACUGGGCGUAAAGGGCGCGUAGGCGGCUGAUUUAGUCGAGGGUGAAAGCCCGUGGCUCAACCACGGAAUGGCCUUCGAUACUGAUUGGCUCGAGACCGGAAGAGGACAGCGGAACUGCGAGUGUAGAGGUGAAAUUCGUAGAUAUUCGCAAGAACACCAGUGGCGAAGGCGGCUGUCUGGUCCGGUUCUGACGCUGAGGCGCGAAAGCGUGGGGAGCAAACAGGAUUAGAUACCCUAGUAGUCGU